rnacentral:lncRNA from 1 species
AAUACCCAAUUAAAGGAUUAUGGGUCAUUACUAGUCCAAUUGUAUUUAUGGGUAGAAAACCUAUUAAAAGAGUCUUUUGAUUUUCUUGCUCGUAAGAGCCUUUUGGUUUUCUUGCUGGUAGAAAACCUAUUAAAAGAGUCCUUUGGUCUUCUUGAUGGUGGGAGACCUAUAAAAGAAAUGAGAGACUCUAGGGUUCACACCUACAAUAUUAUUUGUGCCUCUAACCAUCGUGAGACACUCUUGAGGAACAUUGUUA